rnacentral:rRNA from 1 species
AUUGAACGCUGGCGGCAUGCCUAAUACAUGCAAGUCGAACGCAGUGGCGGACGGGUGAGUAACACGUGGGAACCUGCCCAGCGGUGGGGAACAACCGAGGGAAACUUCGGCUAAUACCGCAUACCGUUGGAGGGGCCCGCGUCCGAUUAGCUAGUUGGUGAGGUAACGGCUCACCAAGGCGACGAUCGGUAACUGGUCUGAGAGGACGACCAGUCACACUGGGACUGAGACACGGCCCAGACUCCUACGGGAGGCAGCAGUAGGGAAUAUUGGACAAUGGGGGAAACCCUGAUCCAGCAAUGCCGCGUGAGUGAUGAAGGCCUUAGGGUUGUAAAGCUCUUUCGCCCACGACGCGGUAGUGGGAGAAGAAGCCCCGGCUAACUUCGUGCCAGCCGCCGCGGUAAUUC